rnacentral:rRNA from 1 species
AGAGUUUGAUCCUGGCUCAGGACGAACGCUGGCGGCGUGCCUAACACAUGCAAGUCGAACGAAGCACAUUGGAUUGAUUCUUCGGAAGAAAGAGAAUGUGACUGAGUGGCGGACGGGUGAGUAACGCGUGGGUAACCUGCCUCAUACAGGGGGAUAACAGUUAGAAAUGACUGCUAAUACCGCAUAAGACCACGGAGUCGCAUGACUCAGUGGGAAAAACUCCGGUGGUAUGAGAUGGACCCGCGUCUGAUUAGGUAGUUGGUGGGGUAACGGCCUACCAAGCCGACGAUCAGUAGCCGACCUGAGAGGGUGACCGGCCACAUUGGGACUGAGACACGGCCCAAACUCCUACGGGAGGCAGCAGUGGGGAAUAUUGCACAAUGGGGGAAACCCUGAUGCAGCGACGCCGCGUGAGCGAAGAAGUAUUUCGGUAUGUAAACUUCUAUCAGCAGGGAAGAUAAUGACGGCACCUGACUAAGAAGCACCGGCUAAAUACGUGCCAGCAGCCGCGGUAAUACGUAUGGUGCAAGCGUUAUCCGGAUUUACUGGGUGUAAAGGGAGCGUAGACGGCUGUGUAAGUCUGAAGUGAAAGCCCGGGGCUCAACCCCGGGACUGCUUUGGAAACUAUGCAGCUAGAGUGUCGGAGAGGUAAGUGGAAUUCCCAGUGUAGCGGUGAAAUGCGUAGAUAUUGGGAGGAACACCAGUGGCGAAGGCGGCUUACUGGACGAUGACUGACGUUGAGGCUCGAAAGCGUGGGGAGCAAACAGGAUUAGAUACCCUGGUAGUCC